CCGCACAUGCGUCCAUGUUUUCUACCCCCCGCAAGGCUGCUUGAGAUGCUCGCUGCUGCAAGCAACCAUGGUUGGAUUCUUCUGCUUGGGCGGAGGCCAUGGGCGGAUUCGACCUGUCCAUGGACGGAUUCAUCUGCUUGGGUGGAGGGGAUUCUUUUGCGCCAUGGGCGAGCUGCUAGCGGCGUCAACGGGGACAACGGCGACGGACGGUGACUGCGGGGAGGAUAGUUUUGGGCGGCGACGGCGAUGGCCGCCAGGAUUUUUUGCUGCAUAUAAUUUUUGCUGGAACCAGCAUUUGACUUUGCUACAACCGACGAGGAUGGCGCUGGGACAGCGGUGGCCGGCAUGAAAUUUUUUUUUUUGCUGCAUUGAUAUUUCAAUUUUGCUGGAAACCUUUUCAAUUUUUCUGGAACCGUAUCAAAAAUUUGUUGAAACCAUGUUUAGUUUUUGCUGGAUCAAAACAUUGUUUACUGGAAACAAUUUUUAGUUUUUGCUGGAACCAUAUCACUUUUCUGCUGGAACCAUAUCGCUUUUCUGCUGGAACCAUAUCGCUUUUCUGCUGGAACCAUAUUGUUUUUUGCUGGAACCAUGUUUUUUUUUGUUUCAAACCGGUGACAUCCUGCUCUCGGUGUUUUUUUUGCUGGAACCACCUGUCUGUUUUGCUGGAAUCGGUGUCGAAGGGUGCUGGGACCUGUGUUGUGCUUGUUUGCUGGAACCAGCGGAUCCAAUUGCUGGAGUCGGUGAAGCAUUUUGCUGCAACGGCAAAAUCGAUGGUGCCGGACUGCAGCGUUCGUUUUUGCUGGAACGAAGCCAUCAACGACGAGGCGGCGAGCGAGACUCCGGCAGCUGCGCGGGUGGGGGCAGGGAUGCGAUGGAUUUUGGCGAUCUGGGCUGCAUCCUCUUUUUUAUUCUUUUUUCUCCCGUGCGUGUUCGGAUGCGAGAUGUAGGGGACAAAACGCUCCUGAUCUGACGGUUGGCAGUUAGCGCAGCGGACGCACGGGAUGCGACCGGCCGAAACUUUCGGCCGGCGCACAGGCGCCUAUAAGCGCCCAAAAGAAAAGUAAACCAGUUCAGGGAACCUACCAAAAGGUUCCCAAAACUGGAUGAUGUUGUACGCGAACUGCGUACGCAAAAUAGUCCAGCCAUCGCGUCGCUCGCUCGCUUUGCCUGGGCAGUUUGACUUAACACGCGGGAUCCGGUUUGUUCGUGAAUAAUGUGUGGGGCAGUAACGUGAUGGGGGGCACCCCUAUUUCUCGCUUUAAGCGAGCAAAGGGGACAGCCUCGCGUCGGGAGGAACCCAGCUUGGCCGGCCCACGCGCAAGCGAGGCUACAGCCUGUUUUUCUGUUUUUUUUACGUUUUCUGGUUUCGUUUUUUGUUUUAUUUUGUAAUUUUGCUUAUAAUUUAAAAUAUUUUAAAUAUACUAGCAAAAAGGCCCGUGUGUUGCAACGGAAGAAAAAAAAUACAACACGCUCUUAAUUUAGAAAAAAUGUUUUAUAAUCUGAGAAUUUGUAGCUAUUUCUUAAAUACAUGAAGAGUUAAAAAGGUUGUUAAAAAGAUACAUGAUUUUUAAUCAUAAAAGGAGGUUUUUUUCUGGAAAAGAACAUUUUUUUAUGGUCUCCUGUUGACGCAGGUACUUGCGCCCUUACUUCAUCACUAUUUCUUGCCAUACAUACGUAUUGGUCCCUGUUUCAUCACUAUUUAUUUCUUAUCAAACUUGUCUUUUAUCUUAUUUUUUGUCAUGCAUGCCUCCUUACUUUUUUUCAUGCAUUUCCUCUUUUUCUUCUUCUUAUAUAUAGGAGAAUAGUGCAACAUCUCAUCUUUACCGGAUCUCCUCUGCAUUUUCUGUUUUAUUUAUUUUGUAGCGGACAUCCUAUUUUUACUGGGUCCUUUUAUUUCU